rnacentral:rRNA from 1 species
AUUGAACGCUGGCGGCGUGCCUAACACACGCAAGUCGCACGCGAAAGGGGGCAACCCCAAGUAGAGUGGCGGACGGGUGAGUAACGCGUAGGAACCUACCUAGUAGUGGGGGACAACCCGGCGAAAGCCGGGCUAAUACCGCAUACGACCUAAGGGUGAAAGCAGGGGAUCGCAAGACCUUGCGCUAUUAGAUGAGCCUGCGUCCGAUUAGCUAGUUGGUGAGGUAACGGCUCACCAAGGCGACGAUCGGUAACUGGUUUGAGAGAACGACCAGUCACAUUGGGACUGAGACACGGCCCAAACUCCUACGGGAGGCAGCAGUGGGGAAUAUUGGACAAUGGGGGCAACCCUGAUCCAGCGACGCCGCGUGUGUGAAGAAGGCCUUCGGGUUGUAAAGCACUUUCGGCAGGGACAAACAAGACGGAGCUAACAUCUCCGUUCCUGAUGGUACCUGAAGAAGAAGCACCGGCUAACUCUGUGCCAGCAGCCGCCGUAA